GCCGUGGCUCAGUGGUUGAGCAUCGACCUAUGAACCUGGAGGUCACAGGUUCAAUUCCCUGUCACGGCA
rnacentral:tRNA from 1 species